UUGUUUCAUCUAUUGCUCCAUUGAGUUUCAAAAUUAUUAUUUCAACUUUGUUUCUUCAUAUGAUUCUGACUUUUGCUAAACUCUAUAAGACCUUUUGUUUGACCCCUUUUCACAUGCUAUUUAGUACUCUCUCUUCUCCAUUGAUGGAUUACCAUAUUCCUAUAUUUUGUGAUUGCAUGACACUUUUUCUUUGUCCUAAAUUCAGCCUUGCAUGCCCAAUACUUGUGUACUCUUUAUAUGUGCUGAACUUCCCUUCUAAACGAAUUUAAAUUUUUUGAAUAAUUUUAGACUUCCUUUGCGUAAGUAUGAUUGAUUUUCUUUCCUUGUUUGCUGAUUUCCCUGUUACUUGGUUUGACUCAAAAGAUUUCCUUAACCUUUCUGACUUUGUUUAUUCAUGAACCAGUAAUUGAGAAUAUGGGACUCCUUGAUUUACUAUGUACUAAUUGAUUCUUAUCUUAUUUUUUUUAAACGUGUAUUUCAAAAUUCAUCACUUAAACAAACUCCUAUGUAUUUAUCCUUAAUUGCAUACUUUGCACAAGAUGUUUAUUUGAUUUUUUCCCUUAAAUAAUUCUCGCUCAAUACCAUUUGAUUCAAUUCCUUUAUUAAAGGAAGUCUUAGACUGAUUGAUUUUUAAUUGUUACCUAAUUUCAUAAUUAUUUUCUUACCUUCUUUCCGCAUAUUUUCACACUAUAAAUACCUUCUCUUCAUUAACACAAACAAAGAUCAUCACUCAUUCACAGUCUUUCUAAACUUAUAGUUAUACACAAUAGUAUUCUCUCUUUUGUCUGCACUAUGGCCUGUUUACAAGACCUACUGCUUUUCUCAAUUUGUCUUUUUGAAACGGGUAUGCCCGAUUUUAAUCUUUAGCACCACAACAAUGUGUAUUUAAUGCUUUUGUAUCCAUGUCAGUUAUUGUUUCUGUAGGAUUCAAC
rnacentral:lncRNA from 1 species